rnacentral:misc_RNA from 1 species
UACGUAGGUGGCAAGCGUUGUCCGGAAUUAUUGGGCGUAAAGCGCGCGCAGGCGGCUGCUUAAGUCUGGUGUUUAAGCCCGGGGCUCAACCCCGGUUCGCACUGGAAACUGGGCAGCUGGAGUGCAGGAGAGGGAAGCGGAAUUCCACGUGUAGCGGUGAAAUGCGUAGAGAUGUGGAGGAACACCAGUGGCGAAGGCGGCUUCCUGGCCUGUAACUGACGCUGAGGCGCGAGAGCGUGGGGAGCAAACAGG